GCCCGAGUGGCGGAAUUGGUAUACGCGCAGCACUUAAAAUGCUGUUCUCUAUGAGAAUGUCGGUUCGAGUCCGACCUCGGGCACCA
rnacentral:tRNA from 1 species